rnacentral:tRNA from 1 species
UGCCCGGUCGCCAAGCGGUAAGGCAGAGGCCUUUGAAGCCUCCAUUCGCAGGUUCGAAUCCUGCCCGGGCAA